rnacentral:tRNA from 1 species
GCCUCUGUGGCGCAAUGGUAGCGCGUACGACUCCUAUAAAAAUCGUUGGUAAUCGUGAAGUUCCAAGUUCGAGUCUUGGCUGGGGUG